CGGGUUUGACAUAUAGGUGUUAGGGAGGCGAAAGCUGACUGACCUUUCGGGGAGCCUAUACAGGUGUUGCAUGGCUGUCGUCAGCUCGUGUCGUGAGAUGUUGGGUUAAGUCCCGCAACGAGCGCAACCCACGUCGUUAGUUACAAGUGUCUAACGAGACAGCCGUUAUCAAAGCGGAGGAAGGUGUGGACGACGUCAAGUCAGCAUGACCUUUAUAUCCGGGGCGACACACACGCUACAAUGGUCGGUACAAUGGGCAGCGACACUGCGAAGUGUAGCGAAUCUUAAAAGCCGAUCUCAGUUCGGAUUGCAGUCUGCAACUCGACUGCAUGAAGUUGGAGUUGCUAGUAAACGUGCGUCAGCCAUAGCGCGUUGAAUACGUUCCCGGGCCU
rnacentral:rRNA from 1 species